rnacentral:rRNA from 1 species
CUACGGGGGGCAGCAGUGGGGAAUAUUGGACAAUGGGGGAAACCCUGAUCCAGCAAUGCCGCGUGUGUGAAGAAGGCCUGCGGGUUGUAAAGCACUUUCGGUUGGGAGGACUGCUUCUAGCACUAAUAUUGUUGGAAGUUGACGUUACCUUCAGAAGAAGCACCGGCUAACUCCGUGCCAGCAGCCGCGGUAAUACGGAGGGUGCAAGCGUUAAUCGGAAUUACUGGGCGUAAAGCGCGCGUAGGCGGCUAGAUCAGUCGGGUGUGAAAGCCCCGGGCUUAACCUGGGAACUGCAUCCGAUACUGUCUAGCUAGAGUACAGGAGAGGAGAGUGGAAUUCCACAUGUAGCGGUGAAAUGCGUAGAUAUGUGGAGGAACACCAAUGGCGAAGGCAGCUCUCUGGCCUGAUACUGACGCUGAGGGGCGAAAGCGUGGGGAGCAAACAGGAUUAGAUACCCGAGUAGUC